GACAUGUACGUGGUACGGAUCUGAAAGGUGAAGGACGGUACCUUCGGGUACCGAGCGUACACAGGUGCUGCAUGGCUGUCGUCAGCUCGUGUCGUGAGAUGUGGGUUAAGUCCCGCAACGAGCGCAACCCUACGCUGAGUUACCAGCACGUAAAGGUGGGGACUCUCAGUGGACUGCCGGCGACAAGCCGGAGGAGGUGGGGACGACGUCAAGUCAUCAUGGCCCUCAUGUCCAGGGCGACACACGUGCUACAAUGGCCGGCACAGCGGGAAGCGACGGCGCGAGUCGUAGCGGAUCCCUCAAAGCCGGUCCCAGUUCGGAUUGCAGUCUGCAACUCGACUGCAUGAGGCCGGAAUCGCUAGUAAUCGUGGAUCAGCCAAGCCGCGGUGAAUACGUUCCCGGGCCUU
rnacentral:rRNA from 1 species